rnacentral:rRNA from 1 species
AGCGAACGCUGGCGGCAGGCCUAACACAUGCAAGUCGAGCGCCCCGCAAGGGGAGCGGCAGACGGGAGAGUAACACGUGGGAACGUGCCCUUUGGUUCGGAACAACACAGGGAAACUUGUGCUAAUACCGGAUAAGCCCUUACGGGGAAAGAUUUAUUGCCAAAGGAGCGGCCCGCGUCUGAUUAGCUUGUUGGUGAGGUAACGGCUCACCAAGGCUACGAUCAGUAGCUGGUCUGAGAGGAUGAUCAGCCUCACUGGGACUGAGACACGGCCCAGACUCCUACGGGAGGCAGCAGUGGGGAAUAUUGGACAAUGGGCGCAAGCCUGAUCCAGCCAUGCCGCGUGGAUGAUGAAGGCCUUAGGGUUGUAAAGUCCUUUCGGCGGGGAAGAUAAUGACGGUACCCGCAGAAGAAGCCCCGGCUAACUUCGUGCCAGCAGCCGCGGUAAUACGAAGGGGGCUAGCGUUGCUCGGAAUCACUGGGCGUAAAGCGCACGUAGGCGGCUUUCUAAGUCAGAGGUGAAAUCCUGGAGCUCAACUCCAGAACUGCCUUUGAUACUGGAGAGCUUGAGUCCGGGAGAGGUGAGUGGAACUGCGAGUGUAGAGGUGAAAUUCGUAGAUAUUCGCAAGAACACCAGUGGCGAAGGCGGCUCACUGGCCCGGUACUGACGCUGAGGUGCGAAAGCGUGGGGA